UUGUGCCAUUUCUGGUGUCCCCCUCCGUGAUAUUGCUGGAAUAUUGCUAAAAACGGCGUAAAACUAACUUACUCACACUCACUCUUACAAUUCGCUCAAGAAUGAUUCUUU